GAGCGCAUAGGCGAAGGUGUGGAAUCAGGAACAAGCAGUGCGUGGCUGAGUGACAGAGGCAUUACUCCAGAUUGAAAGUAAGAGACUUUGGUGUAGAUAAGCUGUCACUUGCUAUUAAAAGUUCAAAGUCACAUUUGCAGUCACUUCUGGCAAGGAAGAAAGAACUCUGUGAAAUUUUAUUGCACUAUAUGUAUCUUUGAAAAUGACGGCACAUUCUUUUGCAAUGAGAUUUUAUUUAUUUAUUCAUGAGAGACAGAGACAGAGAGAGAGUCAGAGGGAGAAGCAGGCUCCCAAGGAGCAGGAAGCCCGAUGCGGGACUCGAUCCCAGGACCCUGAGAUCAUGACCUGAGCCGAAGGCAGACGCUUAACCAUCUGAGCCACCCAGGCGCCCCCCCCUCACUGAUUUCUGCAAGAAAUCCAAUUGCACCAAGAUUGUGAGUUUUGGAAUAUUACUUCAAUCUGUGGGGCCAGAAGAAGGAGUUCACUCUGAGGAGCAUGCAGCCAUCUUUGAUAGGGCCCUCCCACCCGCACCCCCCCACCCUCUGUCUCACUGCCCUUUUAAGGGUCCAUGGUGCCCACCUGUGACCCUCCUCUUUAUGCAGUCCCUCUAACAUGUGCAAUCCUGUCCCCACGGCCAGCUUCCUCAGAAGCAGCAAGUGCCUGGGCCUCCGUACCGGCUGAAGAUUGUGGCGGACAUAUUAAAUCACAUGG